AACUAGGGCCAUACCACCCUGAACGUGCCAAUCUUGUCUGAUCUCAGAAGCUAAGCAGGGUCGGACCUGGUUAGUACUUGAAUGGGAGACCAGCCUAAGCAACUUACUCUGUAUC
rnacentral:rRNA from 1 species